UGCGUAGGCGGAAUAUUAAGUCAGUGGUGAAAUCCUGCGGCUCAACCGUAGAACUGCCAUUGAUACUGAUAUUCUUGAAUGUAGUUGAGGUAGGCGGAAUGUGUAAUGUAGCGGUGAAAUGCUUAGAUAUUACACAGAACACCGAUUGCGAAGGCAGCUUACUAAACUAUGAUUGACGCUGAGGCAAGAAAGCGUGGGGAGCGAACAGGAUUAGAUACCCUGGUAGUCC
rnacentral:rRNA from 1 species